GAUUCAAAAUAGGGAUAACUUCAAAAACCCCCCUGUGGUUUUCAACUUUCUCACUUUAGUACCCUGUGGUUUAAAGUGUAUCAAUUUGCCCCCCGUGGUUUCGUUUUUUUCUUUUUAUUUUAUCAAUUUUAUUGUUUUUUUUUCUCAAAUCAGUAACAAAAUUAAAAUUAAAGAAUACUAAAGUAAAUAUUCGGUAAAUCUAGAUGAAUAUCUGAUAUUUUUUUGCAUAUAAUUUAACAAAAUAUUAAGAAAAAAACUAUAGAAAAAAUAAAAACAAAACCACAGGAGGGCAAAUUGAUACACUUUAAACCACGGGGUACUAAAGUGAGAAAGUUGGAAACCACAGGGGGUGUUUUUGAAGUUUUCCUUUCAAAAUAUAUUAUUUUUGGUAAAUUAUAUAAUUUCUUUUUUUUUUUCAUCGGCCUCUUUAUUAAAGUAUAUAGAAAAACAAAUUAAUUACAUAUUGCUCUCUGUAAUAUAUUAAAUAGCAAAUAUAUUUCCAUUAAGUUUAAUUUUUCAUAUUUAUUUUGGAAAAAGUCUUAACGUUUUUAAAUAUAUCUCUACUGUUAGGACCCAUUGAAAAAAUAUAGUUAACUAUAGAUAAAAUACUUAAGUCUAAUUAGUGAAUAAAGUAAAUUCAUACUUUUUAUCAUUUUUAUAUUAUUUGUGAUAGUAAAAAAAGAAGAAGAAGAAAAUGAUCGAUGGGAAUUUUUGGAAAAAUAUUGCUGCAUAAUUCUAACAGUAGGAAUUUUUUGGAGGGACAUAUUUGUGUAGGUAAAAAUGUCAUUUUACUUAUCUUCUGUUAAAAAAUAAAUAAUACUCUAAUAGUAACAAAACAAAGAGGCACAUAUAAAUAUCAAUAGACUUUUAUAGAGAUAAAUAUGAAAAGUUAAACUUUGUAGGAAUAUAUUUGCUAUUCGAUAUGUUCACAGGGAGCUAUAUGAAAUUAACUCUAGAAAAAACUUCAUAUCGUCCUAUAAUUUUCUGUUCAUUUUAGUAUCUUAUGAUUUUAACUUAUCACUAAUUUAACAGAAAAGUUAACAGAGCAGAUAACUGAAAGAAAAAAAAUACAAAAUCAAGAGAUACUAAAGUAAUAUAAUUAUAAUCGAAAUUCAUGGGCACUGUAUACGUACGUUUUAAGUAAAUUAAUUGUAUUUUUUUAAUUAGUAUCAGAGCUGAAGAUUACAACUGGUUUGAUUCCUACAUACUGCGAAUUUGUACAGGCGCUAGGAGGGGAUUGUUAGUUUAAAAAGACAAGUAUCCUACCAUUUAGCAGGAGGCUGGGUUGGACUGAAUUACGUUCGAAAUGGUGGGAGGUCGAGUUGAAUCGGUCAUAUUCAAAGUGGCGGGAGACUAGUUAGGUCGAAUGACAAGCGAGAUCUGUGGGCGCUGUAUCCGUACACUUUAAGUGAAUUGGUUGUGUAUUUCUAACAGCUCGAGCUUUUAGAAUUAAUGAUUAGUACCAACGAUCCGACAAUAUAUAUAUAUACAUAUAAUCGUAUCCACUGUCCAAAGGGUUACAAUCUGAA
rnacentral:lncRNA from 1 species